CCUACGGGAGGCAGCAGUGAGGAAUAUUGGUCAAUGGACGAGAGUCUGAACCAGCCAAGUAGCGUGAAGGAUGACUGCCCUAUGGGUUGUAAACUUCUUUUAUAAAGGAAUAAAACGAGGCACGUGUGCCUUUUUGCAUGUACUUUAUGAAUAAGGAUCGGCUAACUCCGUGCCAGCAGCCGCGGUAAUACGGAGGAUCCGAGCGUUAUCCGGAUUUAUUGGGUUUAAAGGGAGCGUAGAUGGGUUGUUAAGUCAGUUGUGAAAGUUUGCGGCUCAACCGGAAAAUUGCAAUUGAUACUGGCAGUCUUGAGUAAAGUUGAGGUAGGCGGAAUUCGUGGUGUAGCGGUGAAAUGCUUAGAUAUCACGAAGAACCCCGAUUGCGAAGGCAGCUGACUAAACUGGGACUGACAUUGAUGCUCGAAAGUGUGGGUAUCAAACAGGAUUAGAUACCCCUGUAUC
rnacentral:rRNA from 1 species